rnacentral:rRNA from 1 species
UACGUAGGGUGCAAGCGUUAUCCGGAAUUAUUGGGCAUAAAGAGCUCGUAGGCGGUUUGUCGCGUCUGCUGUGAAAACUGGGGGCUCAACCCCCCAGCCUGCAGUGGGUACGGGCAGACUAGAGUGCGGUAGGGGGAGAUUGGAAUUCCUGGUGUAGCGGUGGAAUGCGCAGAUAUCAGGAGGAACACCGAUGGCGAAGGCAGAUCUCUGGGCCGUAACUGACGCUGAGGAGCGAAAGUGGUGGGGAGCGAACAGG